CCCUUAGAUGUUCUGGGCAGCACGCGCGCUACAAUGGUCUUCGCAAACGGAUGCAUUCUCGAAGGAGAAUGCCAAUCUUGGAAUCUAUGCCUUGGUCGGGACAGUUGCUUGCAAUUUUUCGACUCGAACCAGGAAUUCCUUGUAAUCGUGAUUCAUCACAGCACGAUGAAUACGUCCCUGCCCUUUGUACACACCGCCCGUCGCUCCUACCGAUCGAAGAGUUAGGUGAAUUGUUUUGAUCGAUAAGAUUUGACUAUGGUCAACUCUCGUUGUGAAAUUCUGUGAAUCUGACUGUUUAGAGGAAGGAAAAGUCGUAACA
rnacentral:rRNA from 1 species